rnacentral:lncRNA from 1 species
UACUGCUCCAUCAAUGGGUACAACUUCUAUAAGACGACUUGCGACAACGGAUCAGACGUCAACAUAAUGGCCGCAGUCACCUAUCGGCUUUUGUUCGGAACCAUGCCCUUAAAACCAAUAUACAUUCAGCUCCAGAUGGCAGAUCAGACAUUUUGAGAGGAUGAAGGUAUAGUAACGGAUGUCCCUGUCAAAAUAGACGAUCAUUUUGUCCAUACAGACUUUCAGGUUAUUGACAUGGGAGAAGACGAAUACGAUCCACCCAUCAACCUUGGAAGACCGUUCCUCAGCACCAUUAAAGCAAUCAUCUACAUUGGAACUGGAGAAGUCCAUAUGCACUUCCCGUCAGAGAAGGUACGCCGCUAUUUUACUAACCCUAACUAUAUCAUUGAAGACUCUAAGCAGGUCAGAAAAUGACGCAACCGCAACCAGAGGAGGCAGAUCAUCAAGGACGGAUGGGCAGACUACGAAGGAGAAGUGAUAAGGUCAGAAGACAUACAGUUUAAACAGAAUUAUCCAGAGGAGAACGUAGCACCGAGUCAGGUGUGGAAAGUGAAGAUAACUAUACACGAAGAAGAGGCGCCGCCGGAAGCACCGACUCCGCCAUCCAACGAAUCCUAGGACAACUAGAAAACGGAGUGUCCCGUUCGGAGGACUUAAAAACACUGAACGCCUUGCCAAGAGGUAAACUUGGUAGUUAUCCUUUCCCUUUUUAAUUAUUUUAAACAGUUUGCGUAGUUAAUCAUGUUCAUACUAUCCUAAAAAGAAAAUAAAAAUGAUAAAAAAAUAGUAAGCCCCAUGUAAGUAUACGAGUGGCAUGAAACCCAUAAGUACAUUCACUGUGGUGGCAUAAAAAUAAAAUAAAUAUUUCUUUUCUACUCUAUAAAAUGAAAAAUAUAAAAAUAGAGAGUAAUAUUUAUUGAGGAAGCUCGACAUGAUAAAGGCUAGAUAUUUAUGCUAACACUUAAUCAGUUCCACAAAGCUGUGUUGUCUAUUUGAGCUCCACAGAAUUUAAGAAUUGAGAAGACUAGCAGACGGAGGACAUUCUAAUGGCUGUCAAGAUACUGCCGACUUUCAAAUACACCUCUGCCACCUGCUAGCUACAUCAAAAGAAAUUACGUCAAAAUUCAGCUUGGGGGAGAGCACCCCCAUUUAUCUCGCUA